CGCGGGGUAGAGCAGCCCGGUAGCUCACUUGGCUCAUAACCAAGAGGUCGUGGAUUCGAAUUCCACCCCCGCAACCA
rnacentral:tRNA from 1 species